rnacentral:lncRNA from 1 species
AAAAAUUCACAAGAAACAUUGUCCAAAAGACAUAUGCUGUUAACUUAUGUUCCAGCAUUCAUUUCAUAAAACAUUGUCCUAACAAGUCAUAAGAUGCAAUCCUAUAUUAUAUCAAGGCCAUUAUCACAUUAUAUAGAUUAUGAUUUCAGCAGUCAUAAUUUUAGUUUUAUCUCUGUGCAUAAGGAGAUGAUAAAACUAAAAAAUUUUAUCUUUCUGUAUAAAGAAAAAGAACUUUUUAAUGAACUUUCCUUAAGGACUUUGUUAAUACUUUGUUCUCAGAGGAAAUUGCACUUGACACAAUGGAAGAAUUGGCAAGAAAGGUGAAUAAAUUAAUAAAAGUCAAAACACUUCGUGUCUUGCUGGAAUGUUAAAAAGGUUGUCCAAGGUGGUUUGUCUGCUAUGUGACCAUAAACAACUACUUUCUUUUACUUGCCUUAAGACCAAUGAUUGAUAAAAUCUCUUUCUCACUCUACAGUUUAGAAAUAAAAAUAGCAAGAUGGUAUAUUAGGAUAAUGAAAAGACACAAAAACUUAGUAAAUUCAGCAUAGGAGUUUGUUGGUAAGAUCUCAUUUGGACUAUGUAUCUCUUAUCUUCUGAUACAAUUGCUCCCACCUGCCUUAUGCUGUAUAAUUUUAUGCUAGAAAUCAAGCAGUGCUGGCUAAGAUUAACUUCUUAUAGAUGUCUGUCAUUUGAUUGCCUACAAUUCAUAUUUUUUGCAGAAAGUACAAUAGGUAGAAGAGUGUACCUAUUGGUGGCUCCUUGGCAGGUAUUAUGGCAAAAUUAGUAAUCAGGUUUAAAUAGUGUCAAAUAUUAAAAGAUUUUAUACCCAGACAUAAGAUUGUGUGAGGUACAUGGAUGACCUAUGUAUUAUUUGGAAGAAUGGAAAGACUACAAGAAAUUCAACAGUUAAAAAAUGACUUGUUAGGAUUGUUUUUGAAAUUAAGACAACAAGGAAUACUUAUCUUCAAGGAAAAUACUGAAAUCAAAUCUAAUACUGCCAAAUUAAUCCCUUGAUAAAAUCAAAUUGUUACAACAAAUAUCAUUAUAAUGGAAUUUUUGACCUAAAUUUAUAAUGAAGCCUCUGCACACAACCCAUAAAAGACAAUGCUAGAAGAAUUUUGCUACAACAGAAUCUGUUAUAAAAAAUUCAUUAAAAUUAACCUUUUCUGGAAACCCAAUCACUGUAUAACAAAAUUUCUGUUUUCUGUUCCAGUAACUUCAUCAGUUCCCACUAUGAUCAAUGGUCUCUGUGCCGCUGGAUUGGCCACAUAAAAAUGCUUUGGCUUCCCACUCUGGAGGACCCAGAUUCGAGUCUCAGCUCUCACUUCUUGAAAAUAUUUAUCAUAGGGUCCAACCUGCUGAUUCUCAUCCUCCAUAAUCUAGCUGAUAUCUCAGCAAAGAUGGAUUAAUAAUCUUUCAAAAUGGGAAGUGGCAUCAAGUGCCAUCAUCUGUUGAUAAAAAAAAAAAAAAGGUCUCUGUACACCCAACUCUUAGAAUAUUCCAAAUCUCU